CCUUCAGUGUUUUCCCAUUAACACCCUGUUCCACGGACGGCACUUCAUAGUUUUCAAAGCCCUUUCAAUAUAUCUGUAGCUUUUCUUCUGGGCACUCUAGCUCACACGCUGUCCUGCUCACCGGCGCUGGUUUAGACCUGUCAGAUUCUUGAGCUGAUACAGGGAAGAAAACAAUGAUGAGGCCUUGUCCUGUCCCUAAGACUCCAAUGGGAAAGAUUGGGAUUUUCAAGGUGGCAGGCACAGCUAAGACCCACACAUCUGACACACCAGGGACCCAGGUGCCAGCGAUGUUUUUUAACGAGGUGGGGGCGGGGGGGUGCGCAGAAGAGGUAGGGAAUUCAGGAUCAGAGACUGGGGGUGAACCACUGCCAGUGUUAUUAGUAGCUUUCUGGUUUUGACGCAUGUUCUAAGGAUUACAGGGCAGGAGUGGAACAGGAGGGCAGGCCUGAGCAAAGCAGUACUCACCGUCACUGCUGCACCCAUAAGUCCUUGCACCAGUGCCUCUCCAGUGGACUUUACCUAGAAGAGUCAAGGUCAGGUUCUCUUAAGACCCCAACACAAGCUCAAAGGUGAAACAGGUAGGACAAAUCAGGAGGGGCUCAUGAGGACCCUGCGGACUGGAGGAAAAGCCUAUGAACAGAACCAAAAAUGGCCCAAGUGUGGCUCUCAGGGAAGGGCUGGUAUGAGGAAGAGCCAGGCCAACUCCCAGGACUGGCCCUCAGGACUGUCCUUUGAGGCCAAAGUAGUGCAAGAGAACAGACAAGUGAGUAGCCAUGGCCUAAGGAGGGUGGUGUGCCUAGUGAGGAGGCUUCCCAAAGGGCCAGCCCCAACUACCUGCUUGGCAGUGUGGCCCAUGUUCAUUGCGUCAUUAAUCCGGUUUUCCAGGAAGCGCCAAGUGUCCUCGAAGUCUGGGGACGAGUCCUGCAUCAUCACCAGCUCUGUCGUGUUGUAGAUGCCAGCCAGCACGGCUCGGCGGGUGUACCAGUUAAACUGCAAAGGAACCCAGCCAGGAAGGUUUUAUUUAUUCAUGAGAGACAGAGAGAAGCAGAGACAUAGGCAGAGGGAGAAGCAGGCUUCCCACAGGAGCCCGAUGUGGGAAUCGAUCCCAGGAUCACGACCUGAGCCAAAGGCAGAUGCUCAACCACUGAGCCACCCAGGUGCCCAUGUCCUCUCGUUCCUGAUGUGCUCUGACUCCAUUUUCUUAACUAAGAGAAUGGCCCAAACUGUGACGUGCUUUGCAAUAAAAAAGAGGAAGUUUCAGAAAAGGGGAUAAAAAAAGCCCUCAGAACGAAUACUCCAACUCUCAAGCAUCCCACUGACAAGUGGCAAAGACCUCCCACUCCUCUGCCAUCCAGAACAUAUCAGGCUUGUUAAUGUUGAAGGCCAAUAAAACCUUCUCAUUUUCUAA